rnacentral:rRNA from 1 species
GUCCAUAGCCAUGCUACCUUGAAUAAGCCCUAUCCCAUCUGAUCUUGGAAGCUAAACAGGGUUGGGCCUGGUUAGUAUUUAGAUGGGAGACCACCUAGGAAGACCAGGUGCUAUAGGCA